UACGUAGGGUGCAAGCGUUGUCCGGAAUUAUUGGGCGUAAAGAGCGUGUAGGCGGCCCGAUUAGUCCGUCUGUGAAAGUCCAGGGCUCAACCCUGGAAUGCCGGUGGAUACUGUCGGGCUAGAGUCCGGAAGGGGCGAGUGGAAUUCCUGGUGUAGCGGUGAAAUGCGCAGAUAUCAGGAGGAACACCAAUGGCGAAGGCAGCUCGCUGGGACGUGACUGACGCUGAGACGCGAAAGCGUGGGGAGCAAACAGG
rnacentral:rRNA from 1 species